GACGAACGCUGGCGGCGUGCUUAACACAUGCAAGUCGAACGGAAAGGCCCCUUUGGGGGUCCUCUAGUGGCGAACGGGUGAGUAACACGGGAGUAACCUGCCCUUUACUUCGUGAUAACUGCAGGAAACUGGGGCUAAUACCGGUUAGGAAUCCUUGCUGCAUGGGGGGGGUUGGAAAGCUUUUGCGGGUUUGGAUGGAUUCGCGGGCUAAUAGCUUGUUGGUGGGGUAGUGGCUUACCAAGCCUUUGACGGGUAGCCGGACAGAGAGGGCGAGCGGCCGCCUUGGGACUGACGUACGGCACCGACUCCUACGGGUGGAAGAAGUGGGGAAUCCUGCACCAUGGGCGGCAGCCUGAUGCAGCAGGGCCGCGGGCGGGAUGACGGCCUUCGGGUUGUAGAACGCCUUCAGGAGGAGCGACGCCUGUGGUGACGGUACCUGAAGAAGAAGCACCGGCUAACUACGUG
rnacentral:rRNA from 1 species